AAGUAAGAAGCAAAUUUAAUUGUAAUCAGUUUCGACCUGAUAGUAAGAUAUAAUAAUAUCCUUACAAC
rnacentral:tRNA from 1 species